AUUCUCUCGAAGAAAAUAUUCACUAGCUGGUGAUUUGAAAUGAUUUGAACCCUUUAUUCAUGUUGAAAGAAUCUUACCAUACAAUCAAGACAUUAAGCUUGAGGACCCCCCUCUCUUCCAACCAAGAAGAAGCUGAGUCUACAAGAUCAAGCUGAAGCUGAUGCUGAAAGAUGAAGAUAUCCUAUGCACUCUUCUCUCUUCUGCUCCUGCUAGUCUCAGGUUAUUCUCUCCCCUCUCUUCCAACCAAGAAGAAGCUGAGUCUACAAGAUCAAGCUGAAGUUGAAAGAUGAGGAUAUCCUAUGCACUCUUCUCUCUUCUGCUCCUGCUAGUCUCAGCUGGGUUUAGCCAUGCCAGGGCAAUCCAUGGGGCCAAUGCGGCGAGGAUUCCAGAGCACACGUGCCACAAGCUGCUAAGCAUGAACAGAUGUGACUUGCAGAAAUGUAACCAAGAGUGUUCCCAGGAACCUCUAGGGGUAGGAGAGUGUAGGAAUGCCAACUGUUCUUGCACAUAUUAUUGCAAGCAACCUCCAAUGUAAUGCAUUCCCAUACUGUUGUGUCACAAUGCCGGAGUUUGUAUUCAGGCACGUACAAAAUACACAUUUAGAUCUAGGGCAUCGUCAUGAUGGCAUAAGAUGAGUCUUCACUCAUAUGUAAAGGGAUGCAGUAUUUUGGUACAAAAUCAGCGAAAUGUUUUUUGA